rnacentral:rRNA from 1 species
CCUACGGGAGGCAGCAGUGGGGAAUAUUGCGCAAUGGGCGAAAGCCUGACGCAGCGACGCCGCGUGAGGGAUGAAGGUCUUCGGAUCGUAAACCUCUGUCAGCAGGGAAGAACGGUCACUGUGCUAAUCAGCAGUGAAUUGACGGUACCUGCAAAGGAAGCACCGGCUAACUCCGUGCCAGCAGCAGCGGUAAUACGGAGGGUGCGAGCGUUAAUCGGAUUUACUGGGCGUAAAGCGCUCGUAGGCGGUAUGUUAAGUCAAGGGUGAAAUCCCCGCGCUCAACGUGGGAACUGCCUUUGAUACUGGCAAGCUGGAGUGUGGUAGAGGUAGGUGGAAUUCCAGGUGUAGGAGUGAAAUUCAUAGAGAUCUGAAGGAACACCGGUGGCGAAGGCGACUAUC